UACGAAGGGGGCUAGCGUUGCUCGGAAUUACUGGGCGUAAAGCGCACGUAGGCGGCUUUGUAAGUUAGAGGUGAAAGCCUGGUGCUCAACACCAGAACUGCCUUUAAGACUGCAUCGCUUGAACACGGGAGAGGUGAGUGGAAUUCCGAGUGUAGAGGUGAAAUUCGUAGAUAUUCGGAAGAACACCAGUGGCGAAGGCGGCUCACUGGACCGUUGUUGACGCUGAGGUGCGAAAGCGUGGGGAGCAAACAGG
rnacentral:rRNA from 1 species